rnacentral:piRNA from 1 species
UACCGGUACAGAGAAUGUAGA